AACGCACAUUGCGCCCUUUGGUAUUCCGAGGGGCAUGCCUGUUCGAGCGUCAUUUCAACCCUCAAGCUUCUGCUUGGUAUUGGGCUUUCAUCCACUAAUAUUUAGAGGAUGUGCCUCAAACUAAUAGGCGGUUAUACUCAACUCCUUUGCGUAGUUAUAUUUUCUUUCGCUCAGGUGGAUUUUUUGGGUAGAACUUGCCUAAGAACCUUUUAUUUUUCAAAGGUUUGACCUCGGAUCAGGUAGGGAUACCCGCUGAACUUAA
rnacentral:misc_RNA from 1 species